rnacentral:rRNA from 1 species
GACGAACGCUGGCGGCGUGCUUAACACAUGCAAGUCGAACGGAAAGGCCCUGCUUUUGUGGGGUGCUCGAGUGGCGAACGGGUGAGUAACACGUGAGUAACCUGCCCUUGACUUUGGGAUAACUUCAGGAAACUGGGGCUAAUACCGGAUAGGAGCUCCUGCUGCAUGGUGGGGGUUGGAAAGUUUCGGCGGUUGGGGAUGGACUCGCGGCUUAUCAGCUUGUUGGUGGGGUAGUGGCUUACCAAGGCUUUGACGGGUAGCCGGCCUGAGAGGGUGACCGGCCACAUUGGGCCUGAGAUACGGCCCAGACUCCUACGGGAGGCAGCAGUGGGGAAUAUUGCACAAUGGGCGGAAGCCUGAUGCAGCGACGCCGCGUGCGGGAUGACGGCCUUCGGGUUGUAAACCGCUUUCGCCUGUGACGAAGCGUGAGUGACGGUAAUGGGUAAAGAAGCACCGGCUAACUACGUG